rnacentral:misc_RNA from 1 species
GAAAUGCGAUAGUAAUGUGAAUUGCAGAAUUCAGUGAAUCAUCGAAUCUUUGAACGCACAUUGCGCCCCCUGGUAUUCCGGGGGGCAUGCCUGUUCGAGCGUCAUUUCACCACUCAAGCCUCGCUUGGUAUUGGGCGACGCGGUCCGCCGCGCGCCUCAAAUCGACCGGCUGGGUCUUCCGUCCCCUCAGCGUUGUGGAAACUAUUCGCUAAAGGGUGCCGCGGGAGGUCACGCCGCAAAACAACCCCAUUUCUAAGGUUGACCUCGGAUCAGGUAGGGAUACCCGCUGAACUUAAGC